AGAGAGGAAGGCGUUGAACGCAGCAGCUCACGGGGCGCCUAGCAGCCCCGUCGGAGGCGAGACGCGGAAGCCGGUCUGCAGCGCACGCCGCCAUCCCCUGCUCCAGCAAGGACUCGACAAGCAGGCGCUCAGCGUCACAAGCGUCUCCCUUCUCCACGCUCCCGCCCGUAAGAGCUGCACGAGCCUCCUCCAGCUCAUUUCCAUCGUUACUGGUCUUGGCCGGCUCCGGGCAGGAGGCUGCAGGGACGCUAGCCGGGGCACGUCGAGGGCACGGCUCACCCGCAGCCCCGCGGGAGCGCAGCGCAGCGGACGGGCCCCCGGAGCGCCGCCCGUGCCCGUCCCCGUCCGCCGUGCAUGAGGCUGGGACGCAGUACGCAGGACCCGCGU
rnacentral:lncRNA from 1 species